GAUUCAGCGUAAGCCUUCCUUGAAGCGUAUCGUAUUGUCUUCUCGAAUUUCCUGUUCUUUCUCUUCUCUUUGUACCUUAAAACCCUAGCUUCUCGAUCGAUUGAACCACCCACUUGUGUUGCGUGGUAAUUCCCAUCUGGAACUGUUCCUACUUCAAGCGACGAUGAUGAAACCUGAAAUUUUUUAUUUUUUAAUUUCCGUUUAAUUUAUGAAAAUUUUGCAGUAAUUGAAGAAAAUGGAUUUCAAUUUUAAAGUACUUACGCUAUGACUGAGAGAUGAUUGAGUUUGAUAGCUGAAAGUAUCGAAACAAUUUCCAUCGUUGAUCAGUGGAAUGAUUGGUUUUGGAGUUUGAACUGGAACAACGCUAUCCAUGGCGGCAUCAUGAAGAUGUUGAGAUGAAUUCGGGUACCCGAAAUCGAUAAACGAAUCCAUUUCUGUGAAAAACGAAUCCCCUUUGUUAGAUUCAAUUUCUUGUUUACAAUUAGUACCAUUAUGAUCCGUCGUCGGCACAAGGAAGCUAAAAGGGGAAGAUUUGACUAUGGAAUCAGCGGAGUCGUAGAAAGGUUCGAUGGGUACACGUUCGUGACGGCGAGCCAGUGGGUUCGCUGAAUGGAUAUCGGCGUCGCAAGUGACACAAAGAGCCGCCGCGUCGGCUUUACAAGUGACAGCCGCCG
rnacentral:lncRNA from 1 species